CUCUCGCAGGCUGCAGCUUUAUAAAGCAGGGCCAAGUGAAGGGAGAAUUUGUCAGGAACCAGGCACUGGGACAGGAGCACACACCAUGAUUUCACACAUACAGCUGAUCUGGCCUCUGGCAUUCUGUGUUGCAGGUAUCAGUGGGGACAUCACCAUGAGCCAGUCUCCCCCGGUGCUGUCAGUGGGGCUGGGCCAGACUGCAACCAUCACCUGUACGGCCAGUCAAUCUGUUAGCAGCUACCUUGCUUGGUACCAACAGCGAGAAGGACAGAAACCCUCUCUCCUGAUCUAUUAUGCAUCAAAUCGAUUCACAGGAGUCUCCGAGCGAUUCAGCGGCAGUGGAUCAGGGACAAGUUUCACCCUGACAAUCAGCAACGUUCAGAAUGAGGAUGUCGCUGACUAUUACUGUCAGCAGUAUAAGAGCUAUGCCCUUACGUUUGGUAAAGGAACCAAGCUCAGACUGAGCCGUGACAAGUCUCAGCCCAAGCUAACCCUGCUGCCCCCUUCCCCAGAGCAGGUCCAGACCAAAGGCACUGCAACCCUGGUGUGCCUUGCCAAUCACUUCUAUCCCGAUGAGCUGGUGGUGCAGUGGAAGAAGGAUGAUGCAAUCAUUUCUGAUGGGAUUCAGACCAGCAACUACCUGCGAGCUUCGGACAGCACCUACAGUGUCAGCAGCCUGCUGACCCUCUCUGGCUCUGACUGGGAGUCCAAUGCUCGCUUUUCCUGUGCUCUCACCCACGUCACCCUCUCCUCUCCCCUCAGCAAGAGCAUCAGGAGAUCAGAAUGUGUGUAGUGUGUUUAAGAGAGUCCACAGAGGAAACACAACUUUAAAUAGAACAGGGCUGAGCUGGCAGGACAAAGAUCAUUGGCAGCAAGAAAUUUCAUCUCUCUUCCUUCUCGGGACUGGGUUGGAGACAAUUCUGAGGUUCAGAGGUUAAGGCAGGUCAUUGGGACAGUGUAGAGGGAGCUUUCCUCUGUAUCUAACUCCAUGCUGUUGCUGUCCUGGGAGUGUUUUUUGGGACAGUGUUGACAUGUGAUGCCAAGUCAAACCUCUCAAAGACGGUGAAGACUGUCAGCUGCACAAAAACAUCCUGCUCCUCUGAUGCUUCUUGGCCUGCUUUGUUCAUCCAGCUCUACACCUUGUUACCUCUGAACCUCAGACGUUUCUGCUUCAGCAAACCAGACCUCCUUCCUGCUCAGCCGGUAGUUCAAAUUUAAAGUUUUGUCACUGUUUGAAGGGACGGGACUCUCAUGUUAUUGAGAAAAUCUCCACAAGUAUUUUCCAUUGUGGCUGUGAAUUUUGCAGCUUCCUCUGUCUGAGCUGUUAAUUGCAGUGUUUAUUCUGUCAAUGUCAAUGUGGAAAAGGGAAUAAAAAUGUAGAAGUUUCAGUGUC